CACGGAGUUAGCCGAUCCUUAUUCUUACCGUACAUUCAGCUUCUCACACGUGAAAAGGUUUAUUCCGGUACAAAAGCAGUUUACAACCCGUAGGGCCGUCUUCCUGCACGCGGCAUGGCUGGUUCAGGCUUGCGCCCAUUGACCAAUAUUCCUUACUGCUGCCUCCCGUAGGAGUCUGGUCCGUGUCUCAGUACCAGUGUGGGGGGUCAUCCUCUCAGAUCCCCUAAACAUCGUAGCCUUGGUAAGCCAUUACCUUACCAACUAGCUAAUGUUCCGCAUGCCCAUCUUAAUCCUAUAAAUAUUUGAUUAUCAGAAAAUGCUGUCCGAUAAUGUUAUGCGGUGCUAAUCUCUCUUUCGAGAGGCUAUCCCCCAGAUUAAGGUAGGUUACAUACGUGUUACGCACCCGUGCGCCACUCUCAUGAAAAGCAAGCUUCUCAAUCCCGUUCGACUUGCAUGUAUUAGGCCUGCCGCUAGCGUUCAUCCUGAGCCAGGAUCUAAA
rnacentral:rRNA from 1 species